GUCCAUCCAUCACUUGCAGAAAACAAAAGAGAGCAAGAGAGAAGACAGUGGGUGAAGUCCUGGUUCCAGACUCCCCUUUUUGCCGGGAUAUGAUGGAUCUGUCAGCUGGUGCCUAGAGUCCUAGAGAGCUAGAGAUGGAGGGAAAUUCAGAUCAUCUAAACCCUUCAGCCCUUCACUGGACAGAAGAGGAAACUGAGGCUCCAUCUGCAUGACGUUCCCAGAGUCACGGCACAAAUUCAUGGAAGAAGCAGCAGGAAACUCAGUUCUCCAGUCUGGGUCCAAUGUGUGUUUUAGAAAUAUCUCCACAGGGUUAAUGACUCAAUUUUUCAUGCAUGAUUGCUAGUAAUGACAAUCAUGUUAUGUUUGUUUCUGUAGCUUUGGAAAUCACUCCUUCCACUUGAGUUUCAGGUCCCAACUGUCCACACCUGCAGGAGUGAGGUUUUGCUGAGACUGAUAAGGCACUCACAUUUUGUGGGAGUUGAAUUGUCUCUGUAGCCUAGAAUCUAGAUUUUUUUCCCUCCUCUGCUCUCAGUGAACGGAGAAUUCCAUCUCGGUACAAUCUGUGAACCAUUCUGCAGUAAGAUUGUCAUCGUCUCAUUCAUACUACCUGGUCGGUAACACAAAGGGCUGUAAUUGAUGUGGUUCAGAGACUCACAUCCAAGCAAUAAAAAUGAAUCCCUUAUGGUGGUCUGCAGCA
rnacentral:lncRNA from 10 species